GUAAUGGUACAAGAUCCCAAUGAUGAAUGUGACUGUAUUUUAUACCUAAAAUGUACCAAUAAACUUAAUGGGAAAAAAACAAACAAACAGUGACUACAACAAUAUAUUAAAAAAUCACUUUGCCAUGUACAAAGUGCCAUCAUAUUGCAGUAACUUAGCUAAUACAAACUUGUAUGCUUUCCAUUAUUACUUUUUCCUUUUAUUUGGACACUGAAGCUCAAUUAGAACUCAAACUCAGGUAUUCAGCCUCAAAUUCCAUUUUGCAUUUUUCUACUCCUGUUUCUUUUUUUUUUUUGGUACCAGGGAUUGAACUCAGGAUCUUGUGCUUGCAAGGCUGGCCGCAAAACCACUGAGCUAAAUCUCUGGCCCUCCACUCCUAUUUCUUAAGAGGUGAAUUUUCCAAGGAGGAAAAGACUAAAGCAAAAGCUGCAGCCUGGAGCUAGGAACAGUUAAGAGGGCCCAGACACACAGUCUCUCCUCCUAAAAGAUGAAGCUGCCAAGAGUCUCUGGAGCAAAUGAGGAGGUCCACAGAGGUGGGCUGCCUCGUCUGUAUAGUGUCUCAUUCAUGCUGCUGGGGGACCAUCUUGCCACCCUGAAGGGAAUGUUCCCCAACACAGAUGAAAGCUGAGCUGAAAGACAGAGAGGGCUGGAGACCAUAUGACAUCUUUUGAGUACCUGGAUCUAACCAUGCCUUAAACUAGUGAAACUCUGGAUCUUUCCUUUACAUGGACCCACACCUUCCUUUUUAUUCCUCACCCCUUAAUGAGAAUCUGAUUUGGAUUUUUGUCACCUGUAGCCAGAAGUGCCUUAACUAAUUAGUGCCAUAAAUUAUAUAUUAUUCUCAUGACAGUGUGGUUAAGCCUUUUACAAAAGAUCUCUGUAUUUUAAGCUAGAUGUGGUGGCACAUGCCUGUAAUCCCAGCACUGGAUAGGCUGAGGCAGCCUGGACUCCAUAGUGAGUUCAGGGCUAGCCUUAACUACAUAGUGAGACCCUGUCUCAAAACAAACAAAAACAAACAGUGAAUGUUGUCACCAAGUGCCAUCCAACAGAAAGGCAGACUUGUAAAAACGGUGUAUCCUCAUUCACCUUAUUCACUGGAUCUGGCACCAUGUGAUGUCUGGUCUCCCCCAAAGUUAAAGUGACCAUGAAAAGUCGAUGUUUGGAAUUGAUUCAGAUUCUUGAGGCAGCUAUAACAGCACAACAAAAGAGGACUUCCAGAACUGCUUCAGAAAGUGGCAAGAGGAUAAGUGUAUUCAAAGUGAGGAGGAAUAUUUUGAGGGGAAUUACGUCAAUUUAUCUUUUACUUUAAUAAAUUUUCUUAAAAAUUAAAAACUCCCCAUAUUCUAUUAUCAUACCUCAUGUAGUUGACCUAGAGUGUACCGCUAUCUUGAUUUGUGGGGUUAGGGCCGUGGCAGAAUUGGCAAAACCAGGGAAGGAAACCUUGUCCCCUGUGUGUCUCCUACACUAACCCACACCCCCAGUGCACUCAGAAUUUUGUCUCAAGGAGAUGGUUAAUUUCUUUUUGAUUAUGAAUCCCUUUACCAAAUGACUAGUUCUGGUAUUUUUAUUGGGAGCAUUUUAUUUUGUUUUUGUUUUUUUUGGGGGGGAGCAUUUUAUUAAAGCAUCGAGGGGCAGGGAUUUAGCUCAGUGGUUCUGCCACCUGCCUUGCAAGUGCAAGAACCUGAGUUCGAUUCCUGAUCCCCCCCCCCAAAAGCACGGAGUAGUGUGGUUCUGGCCUAGUAUUUGGAAAGCUUUGCAGAGAAGAUUUUGUGUCCAACAAGCACCUUUAUUGCACCUGUGUCUCUAAAAUCCACCUAUUUCACUGGGCUAGUCCACCUGCCCUUGCAGGAGUGUGUUGGAAGCUGUAGGAAAGCCAAGAAGUUGAUGAGGGAAAGAUGCUGGCUGGGAGAUACUUCACUCCCUAGCAUGAAACACAAGUAGUAAAAGUUCCCUCCGGUGACUGGGGCUCACUCCUUCAGCACUUUUGGCUGGAGCAGCCUUCAAGUCUGACCACCCCGCAACCUUCUUCCAGCAGAAACUGCCUUUCGUCUUGUCGUCCUGCCUGCUUCCCCUAAGGUAGAGGGUGUGUCCCCAGGAUACAUGUGACUUUCACUGGCAAUUGACGAUUACAGACAGUUUACCAGUCAAUAAAGCUGGCAGAGGCUUUUGUGCUGUAAUAGUCCUUUUCCUGUUUAAAACUCGGG
rnacentral:lncRNA from 1 species